rnacentral:rRNA from 1 species
AUAUCAAUAAGCGGAGGAAAAGAAACUAACAAGGAUUCCCCUAGUAACUGCGAGUGAAGCGGGAAAAGCUCAAAUUUAAAAUCUGGUGGUCAAUUUGAUCGCUCGAGUUGUAAUCUAGAGAAGUGCUUUCCGCGCUGGACCGUGUACAAGUCUCUUGGAAUGGAGCGUCGUAGAGGGUGACAAUCCCGUCUUUGACACGGACAACCAGGGCUUCAGUGAUGCGCUCUCGAAGAGUCGAGUUGUUUGGGAAUGCAGCUCAAAAUGGGUGGUAAAUUCCAUCUAAAGCUAAAUAUGGGCGAGAGACCGAUAGCGAACAAGUACCGUGAGGGAAAGAUGAAAAGAACUUUGAAAAGAGAGUUAAACAGUAC